rnacentral:rRNA from 1 species
AUGAACGCUAGCGGCAGGCUUAACACAUGCAAGUCGAACGGUAACAGGUGUAGCAAUACAUGCUGACGAGUGGCGCACGGGUGCGUAACGCGUAUGCAACUUACCUCUAACUGGAGGAUACCCUUCCGAAAGGAAGAAUAAUACUCCAUUAUAUUUCGAUGUGGCAUCACAUUGUUCUUAAAGCUUCGGCGGUUAGAGAUAGGCAUGCGUCUGAUUAGCUUGUUGGUGAGGUAAUGGCUCACCAAGGCAACGAUCAGUAGGGGGCCUGAGAGGGUUAUCCCCCACACUGGUACUGAGACACGGACCAGACUCCUACGGGAGGCAGCAGUGAGGAAUAUUGGUCAAUGGACGCAAGUCUGAACCAGCCAUGCCGCGUGCAGGAUGAAUGCCCUACGGGUUGUAAACUGCUUUUAUAUAGGAAUAAACCCCCUUUCGUGAGAGGGGCUGAAGGUACUAUAAGAAUAAGGACCGGCUAACUCCGU